AGUUCACAAACAUGGGAAAGAAAU
rnacentral:misc_RNA from 1 species